AAACUACCACCGUUGGAAAAGUAAUGGUGGGAAACGCCUCUUGCGAUCUUGCGGUGUGGAAGAUCGACCGAUGUCGGAGGAGGAGAAGAGGGGGAGGAAGCUGCGGUCGUUGUCGAUCGAGAUGGGAAGGAGACGAAUCUGUGAGAUGCGUGCGUGACUCACCGAUCGCUUCUCCCGUCGUACUCAGCUGCUUGGAGCGGGCUAUCGAAGCAGGCGGCCACAAGAAAGCCAUCGGCUCAAGUAGGAGAAGAGAAGACGCCGACGUAGGGAGGAGAAAACUGGUAGUGGGGUGACGUCGGAUAGCAAAAAAGUGAGAG
rnacentral:lncRNA from 1 species